UUUUCGAUGUCUAGCAGU
rnacentral:siRNA from 1 species